GGUUUGAUGAUUGAAGAAGGAACACAGGAGACGAUACACGUGGGCUUGACCGUGGAUGAUGAUGGACAGCGAGAGGUUCGGUUGGCCUGUCGCCGCGCCGUUGCCGGAGACGACCGACGUCUCCAGUGCCAAUCAUCGCCUGGAUUACUGAUUGGAGUGGCACAAACAACUUCUUUCAUCGAUGAAGUUGGUUAUUAGGCGCGCGCGCGCGGCAGAGAUGAGAUCCAAAGAUCGAGUUCUCCGCGAGACGCUUCUUUGUUCCUUUCC
rnacentral:lncRNA from 1 species